GACGAACGCUGGCGGCGUGCUUAACACAUGCAAGUCGAACGGAAAGGCCCUGCUUUUGUGGGGUGCUCGAGUGGCGAACGGGUGAGUAACACGUGAGUAACCUGCCCUUGACUUUGGGAUAACUUCAGGAAACUGGGGCUAAUACCGGAUAGGAGCUCCUGCUGCAUGGUGGGGGUUGGAAAGUUUCGGCGGUUGGGGAUGGACUCGCGGCUUAUCAGCUUGUUGGUGGGGUAGUGGCUUACCAAGGCUUUGACGGGUAGCCGGCCUGAGAGGGUGACCGGCCACAUUGGGACUGAGAUACGGCCCAGACUCCUACGGGAGGCAGCAGUGGGGAAUAUUGCACAAUGGGCGGAAGCCUGAUGCAGCAACGCCGCGUGCGGGAUGACGGCCUUCGGGUUGUAAACCGCUUUCGCCUGUGACGAAGCGUGAGUGACGGUAAUGGGUAAAGAAGCACCGGCUAACUACGUGCCAGCAGCCGCGGUGAUACGUAGGGUGCGAGCGUUGUCCGGAUUUAUUGGGCGUAAAGGGCUCGUAGGUGGUUGAUCGCGUCGGAAGUGUAAUCUUGGGGCUUAACCCUGAGCGUGCUUUCGAUACGGGUUGACUUGAGGAAGGUAGGGGAGAAUGGAAUUCCUGGUGGAGCGGUGGAAUGCGCAGAUAUCAGGAGGAACACCAGUGGCGAAGGCGGUUCUCUGGGCCUUUCCUGACGCUGAGGAGCGAAAGCGUGGGGAGCGAACAGGCUUAGAUACCCUGGUAGUCCACGCUGUAAACGGUGGGUACUAGGUGUGGGGUCCAUUCCACGGGUUCCGUGCCGUAGCUAACGCUUUAAGUACCCCGCCAGGGGAGUACGGCCGCAAGGCUAAAACUCAAAGGAAUUGACGGGGCCCCGCACAAGCGGCGGAGCAUGCGGAUUAAUUCGAUGCAACGCGUAGAACCUUACCUGGGUUUGACAUGGAUCGGGAGUGCUCAGAGAUGGGUGUGCCUCUUUUGGGGUCGGUUCACAGGUGGUGCAUGGCUGUCGUCAGCUCGUGUCGUGAGAUGUUGGGUUAAGUCCCGCAACGAGCGCAACCCUUGUUCACUGUUGCCAGCACGUUAUGGUGGGGACUCAGUGGAGACCGCCGGGGUCAACUCGGAGGAAGGUGGGGAUGACGUCAAGUCACCAUGCCCCUUAUGUCCAGGGCUUCACGCAUGCUACAAUGGCUGGUACAGAGAGUGGCGAGCCUGUGAGGGUGAGCGAAUCUCGGAAAGCCGGUCUCAGUUCGGAUUGGGGUCUGCAACUCGACCUCAUGAAGUCGGAGUCGCUAGUAAUCGCAGAUCAGCAACGCUGCGGUGAAUACGUUCCCGGGGCU
rnacentral:rRNA from 1 species